GUGUCAGCAGCCGCGGUAAGACGUAGGGGGCAAGCGUUGUCCGGAUUUAUUGGGCGUAAAGAGCUCGUAGGCGGCUCAGAAAGUCGGGUGUGAAACCUCCAGGCUCAACCUGGAGACGCCACCUGAUACUGCUGUGGCUAGAGUCCGGUAGGGGAGCACGGAAUUCCCGGUGUAGCGGUGAAAUGCUUAGAUAUCGGGAGGAACACCAGUGGCGAAGGCGGUGCUCUGGGCCGGAACUGACGCUGAGGAGCGAAAGCGUGGGUAGCAAACAGGAUUAGAAACCCUCGUAGUCC
rnacentral:rRNA from 1 species